rnacentral:lncRNA from 1 species
AUGCUGCUCUCUUGUUCCAUGACCCAGAGGGGUCGUGCCCUGUGGUUUCUGAGAAGCCUUAAUAAGGUAAUGUUUAGGAGGUUACUAUCUUUACAACUCUUGUCUUAUUACAACUCCAUAAGAAAAACAUUUGGGGCAAAGCAGGAUUCCUCGGAGCGGGUUUGUUUUCGUUACUGCUUCGCUAAGAUGCUGCCCAGCGAGUCUUCCCCGCGGCAGCUUCGCUUUCAGUAUCUCCGCGCAAGUGCUCGCYGGCCUCCGGCCCCUCCUCGGCUGGGCGCGGAGGCCUGGGUGGUCCCCGGGCGUCGAGGACGGGCCGCGCUCGCCCUCCGCGGCGGCCCCGGAGCGAGCGCCCGCCGUGCCCCUGCGCGGUGCGCUGGGAAGGGCCCCGACCCGGUGCGGCGCCUUCCUGGCUCGGCCUCACCACGAGCAGCCCGCGGGGAGCCGGGCCGCUGUGCCGCAGCCGCCGGUGGCCCUGGCCUGCCGGGCCGCGCUCCUGCGCUCUGCCUGCCCCUCCGGCUGCGCUCGCUGCAUUUGGAGCCGGUCCCGGGGAAGGAGGGCUGUCCCCGUGGGGUCUGGAGUAGCCCCCCGCUGCCUCCCGGCGUGGGGAUAUAUUGGGCUGGCGCUUCUCCGUCUGAGACCCGCCUCACGAAAGCACAUCUCCCAAUUAACACCCCAGCUAAUUGCCUGAUGGUGCGUGGAUGGGUGCAUGCGCACUCCGGACUUCACCGAGAGAGAUGCCGGAGCCCAGGCAGCGAUGGCAGAAAUCCCCCUCCCGCGAGCCGAGCUGAUAUCCAAACACACCGAAUUUACAGCCUUUUAAUCUGCUGCAUGACACCAGAUAGGGGCUGUUUGGAGAGAGGCUGGAGUUUCUCAGCCCGUGUAUUGUUAAAUCCAACAGCAGGCAGAACCUGCCUCCCUCGUUCCCGUUGCAUGCGUUGUCUCAGUUACGCUGGGAAGGACGGCGUGAUUAAUGGGUUAGCCCGGGCCGGAGCAGCUCUGAAGGUGACCUUCAGGACUGGCCUGCGCUGCUUUAUAAAUCCCUUCCGCCGCUGCUCUGAUCACGAACCACUGAAACAGCAGCAUAUACGAGCAGGGGAUGGGGAACAGGGCAGGAAACCUUCUGUCCUUACUUCAAAUCCAGCCCAGGCUGGCACACAGCUAGAAGUUUCCACCCAGUGA